rnacentral:rRNA from 1 species
UACGGAGGGAGCUAGCGUUAUUCGGAAUUACUGGGCGUAAAGGGCUCGUAGGCGGCCAACUAAGUCAGACGUGAAAUCCCUCGGCUUAACCGGGGAACUGCGUCUGAUACUGGAUGGCUCGAGUUUGGGAGAGGGAUGCGGAAUUCCACGUGUAGCAGUGAAAUGCGUAGAGAUGUGGAGGAACACCGAUGGCGAAGGCAGCCCCCUGGGUCAAGAUUGACGCUCAUGCACGAAAGCGUGGGGAGCAAACAGG